rnacentral:lncRNA from 1 species
GAGCAUCCACUGACUAUCAGCAAACGACUCUUAGACUUACAGAUAAUUGUUAGGUUCUUCAAGAAAGCAGAGGUUUCAUAACGUUCUUGUGUAAGGCCCUAAAGGAAACUUCUCAUCAGAACCCCACUAGUCUACAAUGAUUGGGAGAGGCCUCUGCAGGUAGAACCUAUGAAGAAAGUCUCCAUUCUUCAACAAUUAGGACCAUUACUCCUGAAAUUGGCAACAAAUGGUUUGGCCAUUGGCUAUAUCCUCAGCUGAAUUCCACAAGAGUCAUUUCAGCUAUGGAAAGUUCAAUGGCAGGUGUGGUCCGAAGCCAACCAGAGGACGCAGGAGAUUGGAGAAGAGCUCUCCUUCCGUUCAGGCUCACGGCAAAGCACGUUGCCUUCUUUCUUUUGCAAAAUAACCACAGGAUACUUCUCAGAGAGAUGCUACGGAGAUGCUUCAGCCUUGAACACCAUGUUCUAAAGCUCUCCAUUGCUGAAGAAAAGGAUUUCCACUCAAUGAAAUCAUGACGCAGAAGAUUAUGCAGUUUGAGUCUCAAGAUGUAAAAGGUCUGAAGAGACUGCAUAUAGGUAGGAACUAACUGAAAAAUAAGAAGAAGGCCUGUGCUAUGAUAUACGUUGAUACAGUGGCAGUCAGGUUAUUUCUUUUCCUUUGUUCCUUUGUUCCUUUGUGUGUGUGCCCUGAAUGAUACAA